UGAGGAAUAUUGGUCAAUGGGCGAGAGCCUGAACCAGCCAAGUAGCGUGCAGGAUGACGGCCCUAUGGGUUGUAAACUGCUUUUAUAUGGGAAUAAAGUGAGGGACGUGUCCCUUAUUGCAUGUACCAUACGAAUAAGGACCGGCUAAUUCCGUGCCAGCAGCCGCGGUAAUACGGAAGGUCCAGGCGUUAUCCGGAUUUAUUGGGUUUAAAGGGAGCGUAGGCUGUUUGUUAAGCGUGUUGUGAAAUGUAAGAGCUCAACUUUUAGAUUGCAGUGCGAACUGGCAGACUUGAGUGCGCACAACGUAGGCGGAAUUCAUGGUGUAGCGGUGAAAUGCUUAGAUAUCAUGACGAACUCCGAUUGCGAAGGCAGCUUACGGGAGCGCAACUGACGCUAAAGCUCGAAGGUGCGGGUAUCGAACAGG
rnacentral:rRNA from 1 species